rnacentral:sRNA from 1 species
GCCAGGCACAGUGGUGCAUGCCUGUAAUCCCAGUGCUUGGGAGGCUGAGGCAGGAAGAUCACAAGAUCAAAGCCAGCCUCAG